rnacentral:rRNA from 1 species
UACGUAGGGACCGAGCGUUGUCCGGAUUCAUUGGGCGUAAAGAGCUCGUAGGCGGCUUGUCACGUCGGGUGUGAAAGCCCGGGGCUUAACCCCGGGUCUGCAUUCGAUACGGGCUAGCUAGAGUGUGGUAGGGGAGAUCGGAAUUCCUGGUGUAGCGGUGAAAUGCGCAGAUAUCAGGAGGAACACCGAUGGCGAAGGCAGUUCUCUGGGCCGUAACUGGCGCUGAGGAGCGAAAGCGUGGGGAGCGAACAGG